rnacentral:rRNA from 1 species
UACGUAGGUGGCAAGCGUUGUCCGGAAUUAUUGGGCGUAAAGCGCGCGCAGGCGGUCUCUUAAGUCUGAUGUGAAAGCCCACGGCUCAACCGUGGAGGGUCAUUGGAAACUGGGGGACUUGAGUACUGGAGAGGAGAGUGGAAUUCCAUGUGUAGCGGUGAAAUGCGUAGAUAUAUGGAGGAACACCAGUGGCGAAGGCGGCUCUCUGGCCAGUAACUGACGCUGAGGCGCGAAAGCGUGGGGAGCAAAC